CCUACGGGGGGCUGCAGUGGGGAAUAUUGCACAAUGGGGGAAACCCUGAUGCAGCAACGCCGCGUGAGCGAUGAAGGCCUUCGGGUCGUAAAGCUCUGUCCUAAGGGAAGAAUACUGACGGUUCCUUAGGAGGAAGCCCCGGCUAACUACGUGCCAGCAGCCGCGGUAAUACGUAGGGGGCUAGCGUUAUCCGGAAUUACUGGGCGUAAAGGGUGCGUAGGCGGCCCUUCAAGUCAGAGGUGAAAGGCUACGGCUCAACCGUAGUAAGCCUUUGAAACUGAAGGGCUGGAGUGCAGGAGAGAGGGGGGAAAUCCCCGGUGUGGCGGUGAAAGGCGAGGAUAUGGGGGGAAACCCCAGUGGGGAGGGGGGCUUUCUGGAUGGUAACGGACGGUGGGGCAGGAAAGGGUGGGGGGCGAACAGGAUAAGAUCCCCUAGUAGUC
rnacentral:rRNA from 1 species